UGGUGGAGUGAUUUGUCUGCCUAAUCGCGAUAACGAACGAGACCUUAACCUGCUAAAUAGCCCGUAUUGCCUUGGCAGUACGCUGGCUUCUUAGAGGGACUAUCGGCUCAAGCCGAUGGAAGUUUGAGGCAAUAACA
rnacentral:rRNA from 1 species